UACAGAGGGUGCGAGCGUUGUUCGGAUUUACUGGGCGUAAAGGGCGCGCAGGCGGCGCAUUUUGUCAGGCGUGAAAGCCCCGGGCUUAACCUGGGAACUGCGUUUGAUACGGAUGGGCUAGAGUUCGGGAGAGGAGAGUGGAAUUCCCAGUGUAGAGGUGAAAUUCGUAGAUAUCGGGAAGAACACCGGUGGCGAAGGCGGCUCUCUGGACCGAGACUGACGCUGAGGCGCGAAAGCGUGGGGAGCAAACAGG
rnacentral:rRNA from 1 species